GUGCUUGCUUUGGUAGCACAUAUACUAAAAUUGGAAUGAUAUAGAGAAGAUUAGCCUGGCCAUUGCACAAGGAUGACACUCAAAUUCAUGAAGCAUUCUAUAUGAUU
ensembl:snRNA U6 U6 spliceosomal RNA